rnacentral:tRNA from 1 species
GCGGAAAUAGCUUAAUGGUAGAGCAUAGCCUUGCCAAGGCUGAGGUUGAGGGUUCAAGUCAUAGGUUUCCGGUUCA